AUUUGUUUCUUUUCUGCUUUUUGUUUUCUUCAGUUCGGAAAAAGGACCAGCGACCCACCGAUCUCUCUCUCUCUCUUCACUACACCUUCACCCAUGCGAGCUGCCCCCACUUCUUCUGGUUUUGUUCCUUUCAUUUGGAGUUUCCUCCGAAGUGCUGCCCCACGCCACAAGGCCGCGCCUCCACUCCACGCCUGCAAAACCCCAUCGAAGCAACAUCCGUUUGAAGCAGCAUCCGUCCGAAGCUGCUCCAUCUUCGUUUUCUCCCUCUGCCGUCUCACGCUGCAGCUGCCGCCGUGUCUUGCUCACGAGGUUGACUCCCCCAGCAGCGAUCGGUUCUCCUCUGCCGCCGAAGCUACCGUUCAGCGCUGCAUCUUCAUUCGGUCAACCUCUCCACCGAAUCUACUGCUUCUUCAACCACUGCCGAAUCAACGAGCGAAGCAGCCCACCUCGACGCCGUUCUCUUUUUCGUUGCCAGUUCCCUCGAUUUCGCCCUGCAACAGCCCACGUAAUCCACCGAAGCAGCAGCUCCUUUGGGCUUUCUUGUUCAGCCCAUGAGGCCCAGCGAAAUUUCAAAGCCCAGCAGUCCAGCUUUGAAGCCCGUGUCAGCUUUGUCCAUUUAAGUUGCAGCCCAAGAAGCCAGCCCAUUAAUUCAGCAUUUCAGCCCAUCUUGGGCCCGCAAAGCAAGCCCAACCCAGCUGCAACCCAAGCUCGAGAUCAAGCCCAUCAAUUUGUUGUGGGCUUGUAAGGCCUUUUAGGCCCGGUCCAAGCUCGUGGUGUCGUCGCGAGCCCAAAUUCAACCACCGUCGCGUCACUGUCGCGGUGUUCCGAUCUUCACUUUUCACAAGGUCGGCGAUACAUAGUCCUGGGAUAUUGCAUUCUAAAAUUGAUCAAGUAGAAGGAUGUGUGCGUGCUCGAGGAUCGGGGCGUGACAAGGUAAACCCGGGGUGACGCUAGCAGAGAACCCACUACCUUGACAACACACUUAAGACACCAAGCGCCUCCACUAGGUUUCAAACCCCUCACCUUUGGGGAAGGAUCGAUGGAGCCCUUAUCCAGCGGAGCCACCAUGACCGAUGGUACCACAGGUAAAGUUUUCAAUUGAUUUAUUUAGGAAAAUCAUUUUCCCUGGUACGUAAAACCAAAUAUCUCAGUUCGUUGCACAAAUUCUUAACAUUCAAACAUACUAUCUAGGGGUGAGCACUAGUCCAAUUCCUAGUUCCUAAAAUUUGGAAUCAUUGAUAAUCGGUUCGGUUCUAGGUGCAGACUAAAUCACUCAAACCUGAUUGAUUAUUUUUCUUUCCCUGAUGGUUCUAUAUUUUAGAUGGAGAUUUGAAUUUGAAAGAUUUAUUGACAUAAACCAAUUUCUCCUUUACAAUUAUGCAUCUAGAAAUUGUUGAGUACAAUUAGUUGCUUCCUCUUUAAAGGGACACAUGCCUUUUUGGAGAAGCAACAAAGAGAAGGAAAAACGUUGGUUUCAACAUGGUUUAAGAUGUAAAGUCUAUUAAAGAGCAGCCGUUUUAUUGGAUUGACGAUAUCAAUACAUGUUUAUAUCAUGAUCAAUGCAUGUUUAUAUCGUUAUAAAAAGGACUCACAAGUGCAAGAAUCACCCUUUGAAAGCCAUUUAACUUAAAAGAGCAUAUAGAAUUCCUAGGUCAAACAUAUCUUUUAAUGAGACUUAAUAUUGAAUUAGUAUUUCUUUUGUUUGAUGACCAAUGGAAAAAUUUUAUUUUAUGUUUACAAUUUUAUUAUUCUACGCAAUUAGACUCUCUAUUUCUCUCGAGAAAUUCAAUCCUUGGUGAGUGGUUCUUUUGAAGCCCAGUCGUAAUGUCUUCAACUUUUUUUCUUUUUUGUUUCAUUUCUCUCCACUGUGGUUAUUUAGGAAAUUUUCUACUCUAUUUAUAUUUAUAUUCGUAUAUAUCAAGGUAUACUUUGAGUGGGCAAAGUUGAUUAUGGUAGAUUGAUCUGUCAUGCAAUUGCGCGUGGAUUACAGUUUUCUCUUACAAAGUGUGAUCAAUAAUUAUUACACUCAAAUAUGAUAUAUUUAGUGACCAAAGUUGAUUGUGGGCGGACUGAUCAAGAAAUAAAUCACGAUAACUUUGUAUUCCCUUCUGUGUUCUAAAUGGCAUAAAAUGAUUCUCCCAUCAUAUUAGGUUUCAAUUUCUUGAAACUCACUAUUUCCAUAAUAAAUUGGCUGUGAACACAGCCAAAAUGUCUAAAGACAUUAUAGGAUAGGGGUGUUAAAUGGACCGGUUAUAAUAUAUCAUUUCUCUAUUAAGAAAAUAAUAAGACAUAUAUAGAAUAAAUAUUUUAUUUAUUAUUACACAUUGUGAAAUGAUGAAAUUAUCCAACCAAUUAGUGAUAAAUAUAUCACACGCUCGCCCUUCUCCAAAGAUGCUCAACCAUCGACCGACCACCCGAAGCAAAUCCAUGCCCACGCCAUCAUCUCCGGCCUCUCUCGCUUCCCGUUCGCCGCCACAUGAACUACGCGGCGCGCGUUUUCUCUUGUGUUUCCACUCGCCCACCACCAUUGUCUUCGACUUGGGAGUCGGGAUGAUGGGUUUCUUUGGGGUACUUCGAACGUGGGAAGGCUGGUCUCUGUCUAUGCCCGCCAUAUGCCCGCACUUCCACUGCAUUGGUCGGGACAUGGCGCUCGCUCUUCCUUAGCUUGGCCAACUUCACCGCCGGGCGAUGAAGUUCGGGCCAGAUUGUGAUGCAUACGUGGUGGGUUCUCUGAUAAGCAUGUACCGGAAGCAUUGGGCUGCGACUGUUGCUAGCCGCCCGUUUGAUCAGAGUUCAAUGCGGGACGUGGUUUGCUGGACGAGCCUUAUCACUGGGUAUUGUAGCAUUGGCCUCAUGUAGGAAGCUCGAGGGCUGUUCGAUUCAGUGCCAGGGAAAAAUGAUGUUUCCUACAGUGCCUUGAUCUCUGGCUACGUUAGGAACGAGUGGUUAAAUUAAGUGGAUCUCUUUAGGCUAGCGUACUUUAGCACCGUGCUAUUGUGCCGUGCUAUUGUGGAAGCCUCUAAAGAAGGAAAAUGGGUCCAUAAGUACAUAGAUGAGAGUGGCAUUGUUUA